GNNAGUCGAGCGCUUCCCUUCGGGGAGGAGCGGCGGACGGGUUAGUAACGCGUGGGAACAUACCCUUUUCUGCGGAAUAGCCUCGGGAAACUGAGAGUAAUACCGUAUACGCCCUUCGGGGGAAAGAUUUAUCGGUGAAGGAUUGGCCCGCGUUAGAUUAGAUAGUUGGUGGGGUAAUGGCCUACCAAGUCUACGAUCUAUAGCUGGUUUGAGAGGAUGAUCAGCAACACUGGGACUGAGACACGGCCCAGACUCCUACGGGAGGCUGCAGUGGGGAAUCUUAGACAAUGGGCGAAAGCCUGAUCUAGCGAUGCCGCGUGAGUGAAGAAGGCCCUAGGGUCGUAAAGCUCUUUCGCCAAGGAUGAUAAUGACAGUACUUGGUAAAGAAGUCCCGGCUAACUCCGUGCCAGCAGCCGCGGUAAUACGGAGGGGACUAGCGUUGUUCGGAAUUACUGGGCGUAAAGCGCGCGUAGGCGGAUCAGAAAGUAAGGGGUGAAAUCCCAGGGCUUAACCCUGGAACUGCCUCUUAAACUCCUGGUCUUGAGUUCGAGAGAGGUGAGUGGAAUUCCAAGUGUAGAGGUGAAAUUCGUAGAUAUUUGGAGGAACACCAGUGGCGAAGGCGGCUCACUGGCUCGAUACUGACGCUGAGGUGCGAAAGCGUGGGGA
rnacentral:rRNA from 1 species